CACAGGUGUUGAUUCUAAGGAUACCCCCAAUAAACAUCUUUCGUGCUAAAGCCCAUUCCAGAAUUUACUUCCCAGCUAUCUUUGAUGUUCAUAUUGUCAGAGGUGGUGGCCGCUGAAACAGGCAAAGACAUGGAGCAUAUCUUGGGUCCAGGACCUUGGGAGUCCAGAGGAAGGUCUUUUUACCAUCAGCAUUCUCUACUGUGUUCAAUGACUGUCAGCCAAAGAUGGCCAGCACACACAAGACCGCCAAGCAUUAAGAUUCUCCUGUGGAGCCAGGCUACAAUCCUUUAAAUGAAGACAGACAGCUAGGUGGCUGCAGCCCAGCGCUACACCUCACCCCUCCCUCAGUGUCAUGCAGAAAAAAUGUAUUCAGAACUCAGAAGUGAAGUUGUGCAAAUCCAUCAUUGACACUAGCUUCAAGGUUACCUCGGGGGAGCAGAAUGUACCCCUGCCAGAGAGCUGGAUAGAUGAUGAUGGGGACAGAAAUUCUGGGGGAGUUGUAAAUGGCAGCCACUGCCUCUAUAGGAAACCCAAAGGGAACACAGCAGAAGAGGAGGUGGUGGAGGAGCCACUGCCCUCUCGAAGGGUUCAAUGUCAUUCUGCAGACACAACCAAAUAACUUUUUCUUCCCUGCUGCUCCUCCAUUUGAAAUGACAGCCCCGAGCUCGCUUUUUCCUUGAUUGUGUAACUCUGAUUACAGACAAGGCCAAGGCAAUCCCAGGGCAUUACUACAAAGCUAAGGGGUCCCCAAAGAACUAAAGAGUCAGCUCCACAAAAAUCCCGAUUCCUAGCAUGAAACUGAAAUAUGAAACCAAACGGGCAUAGAAAAGGUAUGUGCAUUCGAAUCACAUAGCAGUGACUGGAGUCCUGAGCUGUGUCUGAAGACUGUGAGAUCACGUUUGGAGCUGCUGAUUGGUUUUCAGUGAUGGCCCUGUUGCACAGUGCCGUGAGACUUAGCUCCAUGGCCAAAGACGAUGGUAUCCCCUAGGAGCCCUGUGAGGUUGCUGCUGUUCUCUUAAGACACCAGGUAGCCAUCUGAUCCUCCCUGAGCAAACUAACUGGGCAGACAGGUUUAUUAAACCUCUGUUGGUCCGACUUACAUGAAACAAGAGAGUUAUUUUGUUGUUGUUGUUUUGUUUUGUUUUAAAUUAAACCUGUCUUUGGAGCCUCCUGCUCUUAGUUUACAAGUCUUCUUUGCACACUCUAAUAUUUUAAGAAGCAGCAAACAUUAACUGAGGGUCUA
rnacentral:lncRNA from 1 species